GAAAUGCGAUAAGUAAUGUGAAUUGCAGAAUUCAGUGAAUCAUCGAAUCUUUGAACGCACAUUGCGCCCGCCAGUAUUCUGGCGGGCAUGCCUGUCCGAGCGUCAUUUCAACCCUCGAACCCCUCCGGGGGGUCGGCGUUGGGGAUCGGCCCUGCCUUGGCGGUGGCCGUCUCCGAAAUACAGUGGCGGUCUCGCCGCAGCCUCUCCUGCGCAGUAGUUUGCACACUCGCAUCGGGAGCGCGGCGCGUCCACAGCCGUUAAACACCCAACUUCUGAAAUGUUGACCUCGGAUCAGGUAGGAAUACCCGCUGAACUUAA
rnacentral:misc_RNA from 1 species